UUCACACCGUCAUCCCACACUUGAAGAGCCGCCAUAUUCUUCUCAUCUCCGAUCCAUGAUUCAAGCUUCAUUCCGUUUUCUUAAUCUUUUCUCAAACCCCAAUUCCGUUAGUUGAUUAUUCGAGAUGGGUUUUUCACUUCAUCUUCUUUAGGGUUUGUUCACUGUUUGUUCUUGAUUAAUCGACCAAUCUGUUAACUGAUUGAUGGAGAAGAUGAUUACAGAUUAGUGGGAUGAUGAAGACGAUCGGAACAUGAUGAUCGGAUCGUCGUCCAGUGAUGGGAAGAUGGUGAUAAAACUCAAGAUUCCGAAGCUUUCAGAUGAAGCUGUAACGGAAGAUGAAGAAUCUUCAGUGAUCUUAGGUUACACCGAUCAGGAUCUGGUUUCCACAGACUUUGUGGGAGACAACAGGUUGGAAUUAUUCACUUUGAGCUAAAAGAAUGGAUUUAACAAACUAGGACGCUCAAUUCUUGCAAACGAGGCUAUUAAAAUGGUAUUUCUGGUACAGAAAGAAGAAGAAAAAAAGUGAAGUUAUUGACAUUGAGGUCACACUUCAAAGGAUCCAAUUGAAAUGCAGGGAUGUCUGCUCUUUGAGGGUUAAGGUUUGAUCCUAUAUUGCAGUCACGUUCGUGUUAAAAAAUAUAACAGCAUUGUCGCCUGCUGAAUCGCCUUACACAAGUGGCAUAGUUCCAGGUAGUUAAAGAGUUUCUUCACCAAGCUGCUGAUCUUACAUUGAUACCAUCAGCUGCUAUUGCAAAGGAUCUUCAACAAUACAAAGUUGCAGCAUAAAUGGUGAACCUGAUCGACCAUUGAUCGUACAUGUUGGGCGUAUUGGAGUCGAGAAAAAAUUGGGUUUCCAUAAAAGGAAUUGAAGAGCAAACAAUUAAAGCUGAAGACGUAUUCAAGGCGCUUGAAGAGAUCGAGUUUCCAGAAUUCAUUGCACCACUAAGAGCCUCUCUUGAAGAGUUCAAGCAAAAGAAUGCUAAAAGAAAAUCUAAUUCAUCCAAAGCAAAGGAAGCCAAAAAUAGCAAAACAGAGGAGGAGCCUGUAACGGAGAACGGAGAAUCGUUGGAGAACAGAGAAUCACACGAAAAUGGUGAUGAAGAUGGGAUCACAGCCGACAUGUUUCGGUUGUGAGCCGACAUGUUUUCACAAUUAAUCGGUGCCGUUGGCGAUGGAUUUUCAAAUUAAGUCGGGUCACUAGAUUAGGUGAUUUACUUUUUAUUUUUUCUUAAAUCAUUGAGAGAUUAGUUGUAUAUUUCUUUUUAUACAUGUACCAAAAUAAAAGAUGACAACAAGAUGAUCCAAGGAGUGGGUGUGGAGUCUCUUUCUGAAGAGGAGCUUCAUCAAGCAUGUUGGGAUCGUGGCUUACUUGGAUUGUGCUCGGUUGAUGAAAUGAAGCAACAGAUUCGUGAUUGGUUGGACUUCUCCCUUAACCAUUCAGUACCAUCUUUGUUAGGAUUCUCACACCGAUACUUUUGAGGCUAGCCAACAUAAGAAGCUAGCGGAAAAAAAGGAUGCUGGUGAUUAUCACUCUCGGAAGCUUUGGGGCAAUUACUCAGAAGAGUGUGAAUUAUAGACAGGCUGAUUAGCAUGUUCAACAGUUCAAGGGUAGCAAUUCCAGUUGUCUCAGUUUAGAAACAAAGCAAGGCUGAAAACGAUACAAGAUGAUGAUCAAAUGACGAACGACUCUCCAAAGGUACGUUUCAGAUAGGAAGUAGAAAGUUCGACAUUUCCGUCCACAUUAUUGGUUUCUUCACCAGUAAGAACGUCAUUGUGAAUUUUGAUAAAACACCUGUUGGAGGUGAACAACGUAAGAAAGUGACGCGAUAGAUUACUUAUAGUGUGGAUUUGAAGUGUGGGAUCAGCAAUCCAGCUCAAAAGGCUUAUCUUUCCAAGUUUCCGGGUUGAUCAGUUUGAAAUUGUUUAAUGUUUUAUAUCAUCUAACACUAAGAUUGAUUCAUAUACCAUUAAAGAUGCUUAGAGAUGUUGUAUGGGGUGUUUAAUGAAUUGUAACUUUUGGUGCAAAUAUCAAUUCUGGUGAUGUACAAAUCAAAUUGAAAAUUAAAAGUUUGAGGUUUGGAUUGGAUUGGAUU